UCCGGCUUAUCACCGGCAGUCCCCCUAGAGUGCCCAACUAAAUGAUGGCAACUAAGGGCGAGGGUUGCGCUCGUUGCGGGACUUAACCCAACAUCUCACGACACGAGCUGACGACAGCCAUGCAGCACCUGUGUGUCAGUCACCGACCCCGAAGGACCCCGCAUCUCUGCGAGAUUUCCGGCGAUGUCAAACCCAGGUAAGGUUCUUCGCGUUGCAUCGAAUUAAUCCGCAUGCUCCGCCGCUUGUGCGGGCCCCCGUCAAUUUCUUUGAGUUUUAACCUUGCGGCCGUACUCCCCAGGCGGAUGACUUAACGCGUUAGCUGCGUCACCGACACGCAUGCGUGCCGACAACUAGCUCUCAUCGUUUACAGCGUGGACUAC
rnacentral:misc_RNA from 1 species